UACGAAGGGGGCUAGCGUUGCUCGGAAUCACUGGGCGUAAAGCGCACGUAGGCGGCUUUUUAAGUCAGGGGUGAAAUCCUGGAGCUCAACUCCAGAACUGCCUUUGAUACUGAGAAGCUUGAGUCCGGGAGAGGUGAGUGGAACUGCGAGUGUAGAGGUGAAAUUCGUAGAUAUCCGUAGGAACAUCCGAGGCGAAGGCGGCUCGCUGGAUCACAACUGACGCUGAGGGACGAAAGCUAGGGGAGCAAACAGG
rnacentral:rRNA from 1 species